GGUGGCUCAGCAGUAGAGUGCUUGCCUUGCAAGCAUGAGGCCCUGGGUUCGAUUCCUCAGCACCA
rnacentral:tRNA from 1 species